UUGUAAUGGCAAAGCGAGCGGUUUUCAUCAUGUCAGGAUGAUGGUAAAAUAUUAUUCUCCUGCUGCUUAUGACAGCCAUUCUUGGAUGCCACUGACAUCACAAUUCCCAUUGAUGAUGUCUCGUGCUGCAAUCACUGCCAACACUGAAAAUAAGAAAAAUUGCAUACACUAGAAAUCUGAAUUAAAACAGGAAAUGCUGAAAACACUCAGCAGUUCAGGCAGCAUUGUGAAGAGAAACAAAGUUAAGAUUUCAGGUUGAAAACCCUUCAUCAGAACUGGGAAAAGGACACCAUCUGGUGAUCCAGCAAGUGUAGAGGGCAGAUGUAGAUUGGCAAUGGCAGGGGUAAUAGAAGCAAAAUUGACUGUAGCAUUCAACAGGGAAGUGGAAGCACUUGAAAGGAAAGAAGUGCUUUCCUUCAGAGCAGAGAAAGGGAAAGUGCUAGCUGCAUUGCUCUGGUAGAGAGGCAGCAGGAACUGGAUUGUAUCAAUGGUCACGGCACACAUGGAUGCCAUUCUGAGAUUUUGCCAGCUCCAUGUAAAAUGAAAUAUUAAUUGAGAAUAUCUGACCUGUUGACAUCAUCUGGUAUCAAUGCAAAACAAUCCUAUCCUAUGUCAGAUAAUCAAAGAACACAGCCUAUGUCACCUACUCUACUGAUGCUACCUUCCCAGUGGUGCCACUUUUAUUGCAGUCCCCAAAAAACCCAUGUCACUAUCCCAUGACAGUCAGCGUCACCCUCCCAGUUGCCACUGUUCCAUUUUAAAAAAAACCCCUAUUGAUAGAUGAAGCAUUCCAAUCCCUGAAUGUUUAGCCAUAGUCCCCUUAACACCAUUUCUAUUGAUAGUAUGUGAUGUUGCAAGCCAAUUGUCUGACGUCAGUCUCCACUGACCGUAUUUUAAUUGAAGUCACAUUUCGUGUUGUCACUUCAAAGCCAUGUGCUGUGGGUAGAAAUUGUAGCGUAGAUUGUUUUACACUAAAUGAUACUGAAACACACCACAAUCCCCAGUAACACGGCCUGACACCGGAAUGUUACAGUACAGUGCCUGAGUAAUGCAUUUGAUACAACAACGAUAAUAUUGCCCGAUUGCCACCGACACUGCCACUGGUCCUGCCUAGCCCGCUAGUGACAGAAUAUUUAGGUUUGAGGAUUAGUAUUGCAGGGCCUCUGGUUCCAGGUAGAGGUUCGUAGUCUAACAUCAUUACCAUUAUGGCUGUGGUUGAUGCUAGAUUCAGAAACUGCAUUGCUAAUAAACUUGUUAUCAAUUAAAUGUGUCUAGUAAUUAAUCACCAAGUCUUUUGUGCAAUCAGUGAAAGCAAUUCUCAAUCUGAGGCCGCCAUCAUACACCACGCCCACGUCAGAGACGAUCAAUGAACACUAUUUAGCGAGGCGGCGUUGUGCACAGGUUUCAACACUGAAUCAAAGUUACAGGUUGCCCCGCAUUCCAGGCACUGAGCUUCCUGCCUAUAUUUUAUAAUCGGACAAGAAUUACAGAUAUGUGUCCAUUCAACCAGAUGAAAGAAAACUUAUCAAUGGUUCUAAUGUCCUUGGAUUACUCAUAGACACUUUACUGAGAGAAGGAUUUUGUCUUGUAAGCACCAGAACAGUCUCCCCCAAUGAGAAAAUUGAA